rnacentral:rRNA from 1 species
AACGAACGCUAUCGGUAUGCUUAACACAUGCAAGUCGGACGGACUAAUUAGGGCUUGCUCCAAUUAGUUAGUGGCAGACGGGUGAGUAACACGUGGGAAUCUGCCCAUCAGUACGGAAUAACUUUUAGAAAUAAAAGCUAAUACCGUAUAUUCUCUACAGAGGAAAGUUUUAUCGCUGAUGAAUGAGCCCGCGUCAGAUUAGGUAGUUGGUGAGGUAACGGCUCACUAAGCCGAGAAUCUGUAGCUGGUCUGAGAGGAUGGUCAGCCACACUGAGACUGAGACACGUACCAGACUCCUAGGGGAGGCAACAGAGUAUAAUGAUGGAGCAUGGACUAAAACUUGAUCCAGAAAUACUGAGUGGGUGAUAACUGCCCUAGGAUUGUAAAGCUAUUAUAGCUAGGAAGAUGAUGACGUUACUUGCAGAAAAAGCCCCGGCUAACUCCGUG